CCUACGGGAGGCAGCAGUGAGGAAUAUUGGACAAUGGGCGCAAGCCUGAUCCAGCCAUGCCGCGUGCAGGAAGAAGCAUCUAUGGUGUGUAAACUGCUUUUGUACAGGAAGAAACACUCCCUCGUGAGGGAGCUUGACGGUACUGUAAGAAUAAGGACCGGCUAACUCCGUGCCAGCAGCCGCGGUAAUACGGAGGGUCCGAGCGUUAUCCGGAAUCAUUGGGUUUAAAGGGUCCGUAGGCGGUUUAAUAAGUCAGUGGUGAAAUCUGGUCGCUCAACGAUCAAACGGCCAUUGAUACUGUUAGACUUGAAUUAUAAGGAAGUAACUAGAAUAUGUAGUGUAGCGGUGAAAUGCUUAGAUAUUACAUGGAAUACCAAUUGCGAAGGCAGGUUACUACUUAUGGAUUGACGCUGAUGGACGAAAGCGUGGGGAGCGAACAGGAUUAGAUACCCUGGUAGUCCACGCCGUAAACGAUGGAUACUAGCUGUUCGGAGCAAUNUGAGUGNGUAGACGAAGUAGAUAAGUAAUACCUACCGUACGGGUAGGUACGGUUCGUCGAAGAAGUAGAAACGUACGAAAGGAAAGUUAGUACGGACGUGAGGACGUAGACCGAACGGACGACCGACGAGGGGAGGUUAGGGAG
rnacentral:rRNA from 1 species